GAGCAAGUUUAAUAACGCAGCUAGCAAGCGGGCUGCAAGGUUUCUCCCAGCCUUUUUCUAGCCCACUCGUACAAUGGUUAGCUCUUCACCAUUAAUACAUGGUCCACAAGUCAUUCUCACAAAGUUUCUUGGUUCCUGUGUCCAAAUCGGCUGUAAGCUUAUAGCCCGCUUCUCCUCUCUCACCUCUUCUCUCUCCUCCACGUCAGCAUUCAGCCAGCUUACAGCCCCUUAU
rnacentral:lncRNA from 1 species